AUCCUUUGACCACUCUAGAGAUAGAGCUUCCCCUUCGGGGGCAAAGUGACAGGUGGUGCAUGGUUGUCGUCAGCUCGUGUCGUGAGAUGUUGGGUUAAGUCCCGCAACGAGCGCAACCCUUAUUGUUAGUUGCCAUCAUUUAGUUGGGCACUCUAGCAAGACUGCCGGUGACAAACCGGAGGAAGGUGGGGAUGACGUCAAAUCAUCAUGCCCCUUAUGACCUGGGCUACACACGUGCUACAAUGGGAAGUACAACGAGUCGCAAAGUCGCGAGGCUAAGCUAAUCUCUUAAAGCUUCUCUCAGUUCGGAUUGUAGGCUGCAACUCGCCUACAUGAAGCCGGAAUCGCUAGUAAUCGCGGAUCAGC
rnacentral:rRNA from 2 species